rnacentral:rRNA from 1 species
GAUGAACGCUGGCGGCGUGCCUAAUACAUGCAAGUCGAGCGAACAGACGAGGAGCUUGCUCCUCUGACGUUAGCGGCGGACGGGUGAGUAACACGUGUAUAACCUACCUAUAAGACUGGGAUAACUUCGGGAAACCGGAGCUAAUACCGGAUAAUAUAUUGAACCGCAUGGUUCAAUAGUGAAAUACGGUUUUGCUGUCACUUAUAGAUGGAUCCGCGCCGCAUUGGCUAGUUGGUAAGGUAACUGCUUACCAAGGCAACGAUGCGUAGCCGACCUGAGAGGGUGAUCGGACACACUGGAACUGAGAAACGGUCCAGACUCCGACGGGAGGCAGCAGUAGGGAAUCUUCCGCAAUGGGCGAAAGCCUGACGGAGCAACGCCGCGUGAGUGAUGAAGGUCUUCGGAUCGUAAAACUCUGUUAUUAGGGAAGAACAAAUGUGUAAGUAACUAUGCACGUAUUGACGGUACCUAAUCAGAAAGCCACGGCUAACUACGUG